rnacentral:rRNA from 1 species
AUUGAACGCUGGCGGCAUGCCUUACACAUGCAAGUCGAACGGCAGCACGGGAGCAAUCCUGGUGGCGAGUGGCGAACGGGUGAGUAAUAUAUCGGAACGUGCCCAGUCGUGGGGAUAACGUAGAGAAAUUUACGCUAAUACCGCAUACGAUCUAAGGAUGAAAGCGGGGGGACCGUAAGGCCUCGCGCGAUUGGAGCGGCUGAUAUCAGAUUAGGUUGUUGGUGAGGUAAAAGCUCACCAAGCCGACGAUCUGUAGCUGGUUUGAGAGAACGACCAGCCACACUGGGACUGAGACACGGCCCAGACUCCUACGGGAGGCAGCAGUGGGGAAUUUUGGACAAUGGGCGAAAGCCUGAUCCAGCAAUGCCGCGUGCAGGAAGAAGGCCUCGGUUGUAAC